ACUCUUGUGUGCAGGAAAUCCUUCCCACCUCACUCACACUCACAUUCUCUUUUCAGUAAAACUGAAAUAGACACAGGAUGUUCUGCAGCUCUUCUGACCAUAACCCAAAGAAAGAAAGAAGGAAAGAAAGAAAGAAGGAAAGAAAGCGACUCUUUUCAGCUCAGUUUUAUUUACAUUUAGCUUUUUGUCACAAAUCAACAAAGCAGCUUUACAGAAAUAAACCUUAAUUGUUCCCCGGAUGAGGAAGAAUGUUGUUUUGCUGUCACAGAAAUGAGGUUUAAUCAAAAACAUACAAAAGAAAGGAAAAAAACCAAAACCCAGAGUGUGUUUCUUUAAAAAUAUCUGUAUCUGAUGUAAGGAAUAAAAGUGUUUGUGGUGCUGGGGUGAUAUAAUAACUCCUGUACUGUUGGUUUAAUGUUUAUUAUGAAUUAUAUUACACACAGACUGACUUUACAGAAACACCGUGGUGAACAGGAGCUCAGGCACAACACACACUUUACUGAGACUUUAGAGUUAUGAUUAGCUUUACAGCUAGUUUUAUCCGUAAAUAUUGGAAAGAGCGACUAUAAUUCUCUAUAUUUACAAUAUAAACAAAUCAGUAAGUUGGUCUCGCGCUCUGCAGCUGUGUUGCAGUUGUGGUGAGCAGUGACGUCUUUCGCGGCCCAACCAAUCAGAGGCUGUUGCUGAGGCAGAACAGAGAACAGGACGUUCCGUAGUGUGUGUGUGUGUGUGUGUGUGUGUGUGUAGCGGGGGAGAAACAUCGUGAGAGACCUCGUUAAAGAUAAAAACAAAGAUAAAAUCAGAGAAAACCAAAACAGUCCCUGAGAUAAUCUCUCUUUAUGUAACUGUGACAGCGAUAUAAUCUUUUAUUUGAACAAAAUGUUGAGGCAAAGAGACAGUCAUUAAACCCGAUAACACCCGCUGAGGGAGGUGAAGCUAAUGCUAAUGAAUAAACACAAUGUUUCUCUCGUUUCAGAAGUUCGCUUUCGCUCUCAGAUCUUAUACAUCUUACAAAAUCUUUCAUUUAAUUUCAGAUAAGGUCACUGUUUGUGCGUGUAAAAGCGCUGUGUCUCCUCCUGCUGGUCAGCCCUGAAGCUCCAGAACCUCACAGCUGAGAACCGGAUGUAGUAGAGAACCUAACCAUAUCCUCCAUCCCCUCUCCUGUCUUCUCCAUCUCACCUGCCCUGCAGUCUACUCUUCCUCCACCUUACACCAUCCCCCCAUCCCACCCACCCACACCCCCACACACACACACACACACACACACACACUCACUCACUCACUCAUAAACACAAACACACACACACACACAUACAAUCAGGCUCAAGGCCAGGAACUUGAGACAUGAGAGGUGAGGGUUUUACCAAUGAGCCACCAAGUCCUACAUACAGCUCAUACUUUUUUUUGGGUGGUGGUGGUGUUGUCUUCUAAAGUAAAACCCAGCUGCUUCAGUGAACGCCUGAACCUUCUUCUGUCAAUCACUAUGACAUCACAGACUCAGACUCCACCCACUUGGACUACCGCCAUCUCCUCGCAUUAGUGUGUGUGUAGU